rnacentral:rRNA from 1 species
CAAUAGCGUAUAUUAAAGUUGUUGCGGUUAAAAAGCUCGUAGUUGGAUUUCUGCUGAGAACGACCGGUCCGCCCAUUGGGUGUGUAUCUGGCUCUUUCUUGGCAUCUUCUUGGUGAACGUUACUGCACUUGACUGUGUGGAGCGCUACCCAGGACUUUUACUUUGAGGAAAUUAGAGUGUUUCAAGCAGGCAUACGCCUUGAAUACGUUAGCAUGGAAUAAUAAGAUAGGACCUCGGUUCUAUUUUGUUGGUUUCUAGAGCUGAGGUAAUGAUUAAUAGGGAUAGUUGGGGGCAUUCGUAUUUAACUGUCAGAGGUGAAAUUCUUGGAUUUAUGAAAGACGAACUACUGCGAAAGCAUUUGCCAAGGAUGUUUUCAUUAA